rnacentral:rRNA from 1 species
UGGGGAAUAUUGGACAAUGGGCGAAAGCCUGAUCCAGCCAUGCCGCGUGUGUGAAGAAGGUCUUCGGAUUGUAAAGCACUUUAAGUUGGGAGGAAGGGCAGUAAGCGAAUACCUUGCUGUUUUGACGUUACCGACAGAAUAAGCACCGGCUAACUCUGUGCCAGCAGCCGCGGUAAUACAGAGGGUGCAAGCGUUAAUCGGAAUUACUGGGCGUAAAGCGCGCGUAGGUGGUUCGUUAAGUUGAAUGUGAAAGCCCCGGGCUCAACCUGGGAACUGCAUCCAAAACUGGCGAGCUAGAGUAGGGCAGAGGGUGGUGGGAUUUCCUGUGGAGCGGUGAAAUGCGUAGAUAUAGGAAGGAACACCAGUGGCGAAGGCGACCACCUGGGCUCAUACUGACACUGAGGUGCGAAAGCGUGGGGAGCAAACAGG